CUGCUGCCUCCCGUAGGAGUCUGGUCCGUGUCUCAGUACCAGUGCGGGGGACCUUCCUCUCAGAACCCCUAGACAUCGUCGCCUUGGUGGGCCGUUACCCCGCCAACUAGCUAAUGUCACGCAUGCCCAUCCGUCUCCGGAGUCGCCUCCUUUGGCCGAAAGAAGAUGCCUCCCCUCGGCCACAUGCGGUAUUAGGCCGGAUUUCUCCGGGUUAUCCCGCUGAAACGGGCAGGUUGCAUACGCGUUACUCACCCGUGCGCCGGUCGCCGG
rnacentral:rRNA from 1 species